GCUGCGCGUGCCUAUACAUGCAAGUCGAACGGAGAUAUUCGCUUGAUGAAGUACUUCGGUAAUGAAUCUUGGAUAUCUUAGUGCGGACGGGUGAGUAACGCGUGAGCAACCUGCCUUUCAGAGGGGGAUAACGUUUGGAAACGAACGCUAAUACCGCAUGACAUUAUCUUAUCGCAUGGUAGGAUAAUCAAAGGAGCAAUCCGCUGAAAGAUGGGCUCGCGUCCGAUUAGGUAGUUGGUGGGGUAACGGCCCACCAAGCCGACGAUCGGUAGCCGGACUGAGAGGUUGGACGGCCACAUUGGGACUGAGACACGGCCCAGACUCCUACGGGAGGCAGCAGUAAGGGAUAUUGGUCAAUGGGGGAAACCCUGAACCAGCAACGCCGCGUGAGGGAAGACGGUUUUCGGAUUGUAAACCUCUGGUCCUCUGUGAAGAUGAUGACGGUAGCAGAGGAGGAAGCUCCGGCUAACUACGUG
rnacentral:rRNA from 1 species